AAACUUUCCUCUGGGACUCAUGGUACGACAGCAUUGGCGACAAAGAUGGGAUCGGUUCGCAGGCAGGUAGACGGAUAUUGUCCACCGCAACAAGUUUUCAGAUCUCUCUCCCCCCCCCAGCAAUGGAGUUGCCCAUAAGAAGAUAACCUCCCUACCGCCCCGCUUCCAACGGCGAAGUGCCUUCCAGACAGAAUACCCAUGUCUAGUAACUGACAAAACCCCGUCAGAGCUAUCUCAGGGGACACGAAUGAGCCACCUCCACCCGGACCUUCACGAAAGACUGGAAGCUAAGGAAAUGGUGGACAGCAGAUGAAACAAGAGGACCCUGGAGAGGAUUCCAAGCAGGUGAUGGCGUGAGAAUAAAGGUAGUUGACCCGGUGAUCCUGCAUAGCUACCGGGAAGGAUACUCAAAAGGAUCAGCCCUGCUGCGUAUACAGUAAGAAUAACUAACGAAAAACAAUUUUUGCGUGUAGAUGACAUUGCAGGGUUCCACGAAACUAACCAGACUAUGGCUCUUCCAACACCAUUUGUAAAGUCUUGAUGAGAUCGAGGACCAGGCUCUUGUUCCUAACGAUAGUAACGUCCAGUGGCACGCAAUUUCCCACAACCAACAUCUAGGAAGGACACCUUUCAAAACGUACAAGCGCCGUCUCAAGCAAUCUACAGAUCAUGACCAGUGUAUGGACCUCCCUGAAAACAGCGGCCCUGUUGCUUUGCGAAGAAGCACACUGACAAGACGUCCGCCUGAACGUUAUGGUGUGGUUUGAUUUAAGGGGGAGGAAUGUUGUGAUAAGGUGUUACCAUGUAGCGAGACUUCUGUGAUAACGUUGUAUCGCUUGGGACGUUUGGUGACAGAACAUGCGGGUAACGCAGCGCCACCCUCCUGUAUAAAGGCACAGCCCUAUCGAAUAAAGACGUUAUUUCACUUGC